UGUUUAGCCUUGAAGAUGCCC
rnacentral:siRNA from 1 species